CGAAGGACCCAAGCGUUAUCCGGAUUUAUGGGUUUAAAGGGUGCGUAGGCGGAUUAUUAAGUCAGUGGUGAAAGCCUGCAGCUUAACUGCAGAACUGCCAUUGAUACUGAUGAUCUUGAGUAUGAUUGAGGUGGGCGGAAUGUGUCAUGUAGCGGUGAAAUGCUUAGAUAUGACACAGAACACCGAUUGCGAAGGCAGCUCAAUAAGCCAUAACUGACGCUGAUGCACGAAAGCGUGGGGAGCAAACAGGAUUAGAUACCCUGGUAGUCCACGCCCUAAACGAUGAUCACUCGAUGUGUGCGAUACACUGUACGCGUCUGAGCGAAAGCAUUAAGUGAUCCACCUGGGGAGUACGACCGCAAGGUUG
rnacentral:rRNA from 1 species